UGUUGCUGUUCAAGCCGACCUUUUCUCUUCAACGAAGGAUCGAACUUCCCGGUGAAGUCAAUCAGCUCAUCACCCCUGGACGUGUUCGGAUUCCGUUCUAAAUGCUGCUGGUGUAUCCCGCUGAAAGUCGCUUCUGUACUGAUAUGCUUGCUUACUUUCAUCUGGGCAACCCUGGAGCUUUUGACUGCAGAAAAGUUUCUAAAAAUAUUUAUAGAUGACAAAGAUAUCGUAUUUUUCCUGAAGAUAGUCUACUGGGUCAUAUCUAUAGGACUAAUGAUAGCUGCUGCCAUACUUUUACUGGGAAUUAUGUUGGAUAAAUACCUCUUCGUAAACAUUUACGUAUGGUACGUGCUUGUGUUUACAUGUCUGGUAGUGGUGGUGCACCUGGCAGGCUCUAUCUUUGCUAUAGUCAAGAUGGACGCCGUGACAAAAAGAUUUGCCAUCAAGCUUGCACUGGCCACUUUAUGGUAUGCAUUGGUCUUCUAUUUCCUAUUGAUAGUGAAUAGCUUCAAAUCAAAUUUAUGGUGAUGACUAACAUCACUUUUGGAUGGUAGAGGUGUAGUGUAUUUACACGUCUAUAUAACAGUAAGUUUACA